CUCGCUCGUUAUCAGUGUAUUUCCGGUUUGAAAGUACAGAAAAUCGUACUGUAACUUUCUUCUUGGUUUCGCAGGCUCUUAUCGCAUUCUGGGUACCACCGYCCCUCUGUUUCACCCCAUUCUCAAUCUCGCUCUUUCAAUUUUGCGAUCGUCAUUCCAAGUUUCUGGUAAACUCACCGACUCCCAUUGAUCGGCAUAAGUUUGUUCUUAUCCAUCUUUUUAAGGCUUUUGGGUACUUCGAAACCCUAAAUUUUUGGGGAGUACUAUGCUGGUCGUACUGAAGAAAUUUUKAUUUUCGUAACUAUCGGUUUCUGUUUCUUUUAUUUUUUCGCUCUCGAUUUGGAAUUCGGAAAUUUGGAGUGUCUAAAUGAUUUCAUAGCUAGCCAGAGCCACGAAGCUGGAUAAGGUUGAGGUACUCUUAGAUUUGAAUGCCUGUUGUUGCCAAAGUUGCGUCUCGUGGUUUCGGCUGGUUAUAGGAAUUUACUGCAGGAUGGCUUAGCAUGCCAGUAGUUGUGUAACAUCAGAGACUGUCAUGCUGCCAUAGCCUCACUUGAUAUCCACUUUGGCAUCUCCUCGCUGAAGGUACAUGCAGUUUUUGUAAUAUUUUCUGUGAGUUUUUCCAGAGGAUUUUUCCAAGUAAUUGAUAUCAUGUGUGCCCUAGCGCUAAUCUUAACUCACUGCCUGAACCUUGCGUCUUCUCUAAGUAUUUUGGCUCUGGAAAUGUAACCGAUGGCUUGAAGUUGUUGAUUUACAAGACGUGUGGGGGCCAUGGAUGAGUCAGAUGGCGAGAUUAGAAGCUUCGAGGGAGGGCUUUUACUACAUACAGUAUUUGAUUGAGAAACAUAGAGGAAUAAGUAUGGAUUCUCCUACCCUAGCUUCACUUGAGGUAUGUUGCAACAAGCAAAUU